rnacentral:rRNA from 1 species
GAGAUCAGAUCAGAGAGGUUGCGCUGUUGAAGGUUGACGGGGGUUUAAAGAAGUGGAGCUUCGUUAAUGGGGGUUGGGGACUGGGGCUAGGGGAGGAGGAGGGAAGGGGGGGAGGCCGGUGGCGCGGGGCUACCGCCGGUUGCAGUACGACCGCUAGGUGCUCUUCUUCCGGUGCCAGCAGCUGGAGAUAGCGGGCGAGGCGGUCAUGUAGCGGAGGCGGAUGAGCCUCGCGCUGCGCCGGUGGCGGCUGCUGCUGGAGACGCGGCACGCGCUGGAGGCGCGGCGCCGGCAGCUCUCGGGGAGGGAGGGCCUGAGGAGGAGGGAGCUCGUCGCGACGCGGCGCGAGGACCGGAUGCGGGCGCGCGAGCGGGAGCAGCUCGGGGCGAAGGGGUAGAGGGGGCUGGCGCGGGUGCAGGUGAGGGAGAGAAAGUGGACCGUGCUGCGGAAGUUCUGGUUGUUCUUCCAGUCGGACGGGAGGCAGGUGGAGCUCUUCCGGCGGCACGAGAAGUUGGAGCCGCGGCAGAUGAGCGUCUAGCGCGAGCGGCGGCUAGCGUGGUGUCUGCACCCCUAGUCCUGGCGGACACCGCGGAAGGUCUCGCGGCGCCCCCGGAAACGGACCGAGUCCCUCUCACCCCAGCGACGGUUCCGGCAGCGGCGCCCCCGGUGGUGGCAGCUGAACUGCGGGCUGACGCGCCGCUACGACCUCUUUGAGUACGAGCGCGUCCGAGUCCUCACGAAGAAGCUCUUCCAGUAUCGACCACCCUUCGGCGGGCGCGAUACGAGGUUCCACCGCGCGGUCCACCCGCAUAAGAUGCUUCUUCGAAUACGUCGAGAGACACGUGGAGGAGAAUCAGUCGUGAAACUGUCCUGUACCCAAAGAGUACAGGUCGAGUUCCGUCGAGUUAAGAUACGACUACGAACGAUAUCCAAGAGUAACCUAGAAGUAGUCGUUCUUCUUUAACGAGUCCUUUAACGCGCGGAUUUUUAACCUUACUUGCGGAACCGACUACGGUUCUUCCGUCGAUUCCCUCAACGACGCGGUGAAGACCUAAGACAAUUAUUCGACCUCUCAUUGUACUUUUGGUUGAACCUCUCCCGGUACUUCCUCUUGUUAUCACAAAUAGACUACGCCCAAGGUCUCCGCCCAUGAAACCCUCGAGACGGACGUCGAAGGGAACAUUUUAGAUGAAGAAACCGACUUCAAGAUCUACGAUCGUUACUCUCCGAAAAAAGUAGUGAACACGGACUACCGUCGUACUUCCGGGAAAGAUUCAUGUGUCUCUACCAUCUACUAUAGUAAGCCUGGGUCCGUCUCUUUGAAGUCGUUAGAUCACUCUAGUGAUCUCAAUCCGACUUCCUUUACCUGAACGGACUAAGAUAAGAUAGUAACCUUCCAUUACAGUCGUAUGGACGUCUAGACUUCCUUCUACAACUCCGACACGUCUAUUCGCCACCGGGGCGACCGAACCUUCGACUCAACGUCGUCGAAUCUCUAAACUUAUCCCAGUUAGUCCUCAACGAACAAGUCUGACUUCUCUACGACGUCUUCCUCCGUUCACUUCUACGAGUUAAGGCCUGCGUUAAGCCUUCAGCAACCUGAUCCGGAGUUAGUUCGUGGGAUUGUUUCUUGUAAGUUCUGGCUAACUUAGAAAAACAACCAUUAGAAUUUUUUCGUCGACGUUCACUACGAAACUAGCUUGCUCUACACUUCCUCUCGAUGGGGAACUACAGAUAAGAACUGUCUUCUGGCUAUCUCAGACGUGAUGGUUCAUAAAGUUCCGGAUAGUACAGGAACCUACCCUUACUUCUACGAUAGCAACCUCGGGAAUUUGUUUCGAACUCCGUUGACCUUAGAGAACCACGUGUUUCCCGUCCGGAACUUCUGGUAGAGUUCCUUUACUUCUCUUUCCUACUAUAUGAGGGAUUCAACUACCGACCACAACCUCGUGUACUACUAGAAAAAUCCUUCCUCUAACGCUUCAUGCUAGGAUAGACACGACUUUAACGACUAUUGUAACAUCGUGUCCUUGUUAAUAACAACGUUUAUGUCCUUGUUUUACGCGUUAAACGACGACAUAAGUUAGAUCUACUAAUGUUUCAACGAGCACUCUCUACAAUGUUCGUUUAACGACGUCGACAACGAUUUAUGGUCCGUUAAUUCUUCUUGUACUUACUGCCGGAUUUAAAAAUGCACAGAAAUGUCCUACGUUGGCCGUUCUAUGUUGUCGUCACGCCACUGAAGUAUUACUGCGCCUUGUAGGUUACGGCACUUUACUAGCUCCUGCACGUUUCUUUCAAUCGUCCAAAGUUGAACAGUAGAAGGUCGGUGUUGUGAUUGUGCGGUUCCUCGAGAAGGCAAGGUGGCCUAGUCGUGUCAGGUAGUGGCGGCGGUGUACUACGAGUACGAGUCAGGAGCAUGCCACGAGGUGGACCCCCACUGGGCUCCGGUCAAAUGAGGGUUGGUCUUAGUUCCGGAGGCAUGAGUGUCGGUAUGGGGUUGAUACCACCCGGUGGCGUCGUUGGAGGUAUACCGCGUCGUGUGGGACCAGUCAUGGUCGUCGUGGGCGUCGUCGUAGUCGGUGGAGGACCGGUACUGAUACCGGUUGGCCGCAUAGGGCCCACCGCGCCCGGCAUGAUGUCACCCGUCGUCGGUGUCGGCGUCGUUGGCCAUUUAAACUGUUUAAACUGGAUAUCUGCUUUAGUUUAGUGUCUUACUUGACAAGCACUUUGAUAAAGUGCGCCGACUGGGCACCGCGGAUCGAGGGUCUGCGACGUGAUCACGUUGCAGAUCCUCGAUCCGCGAUGUAACAUAUCACACCGCGGAUCGAGAGUCCGCGACGUGUGACUGAAUCAUUAAAAGACUAGUGUGCCCACGCUGCGACCGGAACAUCGCGGAUAGACACUCCGCAACGUGUCACAUCACACCGCGGAAGCACAGCCCGCAGUGUGUUUUUCCAGUCGGCGCACUUUAUCAAAGUGCCUAUCAAGUAAGACACUAAACUAAAACAGAUAUCCAGUUUAAAUAGUUUAAACGGCGUUAUUGGUCCCGGCAUAGGUGUUCGUGGCAUGUCACGGGGUCCGCGCAUGGGAGGAGUAGUGGUCUCGUUGAUGAUGUCCGGAGUUACUUUCUGGUUGAACCAGACCUCCUUGCUAAACAAGAGAAUUAAAAAGAGCGCCUAUACACAGGAACACCUAAGGUAAGAACACAUAUGACCGUAUCACCAAUGCUCAAGGCCACCUCAUUACAGUUAAUACGAGCCCAACCAAUCCGCCAUCGGACAUACUAUACAUGCACAUUAUUACGUUAACCGCACGGUAACGGACCGAAGUCAUAACCUAAUAUCUUUACUCCUUGUUAAUAAAAAAGAGUCAGAGGCGAACCUACGAAACAAAUUAGUUGGACCG